GACGAACGCUGGCGGCGUGCUUAACACAUGCAAGUCUGGCGGCGGCGCGAUCCGUGCCCGGCGAUCGGGUGCGCAACACGCGAGCGAGCUGCCCUGUGUGCGGGGGCUAGCUGUCCCAACGGCCGGGUAAUACCGCACACGCCCCGCGCUCGGAGGCGCCGGGCGAAAGCCCGCAAGGGCGCACCAGGCGGUGCUCGCGGCCUAUCAGCGAGUUGGGGGGGUAACGUGCGACCAAGGCGACCACGGGUAGCCGGGCUGAGAGGAUGGCCAGCCACAUUGGGACGGAGAGACGGCCCAGACUCCGACGGGGGGCAGCAGUGGGGAAUCUGGCGCAAUGGGCGAAAGACUGACGCAGCGACGCCGCGUGGAGGAUGAGGCCCUUCGGGGUGUAAACUCCUGUUGCUCGGGACGAACGGCGGGCAUCGGCCCGCUUGACGGUACCGGGUGAGGAAGCACCGGCUAACUCUGUG
rnacentral:rRNA from 1 species